UACGUAGGGGGCAAGCGUUGUCCGGAAUUAUUGGGCGUAAAGAGCGCGUAGGCGGUCCGAUAAGUCGGCUGUGAAAGUCAUGGGCUCAACCCUUGGAAGCCGGCCGAUACUGUCGGACUAGAGUCCGGAAGAGGCGAGUGGAAUUCCCGGUGUAGCGGUGAAAUGCGCAGAUAUCGGGAGGAACACCAAUUGCGAAGGCAGCUCGCUGGGACGGUACUGACGCUGAGGCGCGAAAGCGUGGGGAGCAAACAGG
rnacentral:rRNA from 1 species